UUUGUACUCCCUCCGUCCCAAAAUUCUUGUCUUAAAUUUUUCUAAAUACGGAUGUAUCUAGUUACAUUUUAGUGUUAGAUACAUCCGUAUCUAAACAAAUGUAAGACAAGAAUUUUGGGACGGAGGGAAUACUAC
rfam:Triticum aestivum genome assembly, contig: Triticum_aestivum_CS42_TGACv1_scaffold_328291_4BS